rnacentral:lncRNA from 1 species
ACUUACCUGACCAAUUUGGUCGAUUAUAAAUUGAGUAAGGUUGCUUGGUCAUUCAUAUUCACCCAUGUCGACUAGAUUAGUCAGACAUGAGAUUGUGCUGACCAGAACCUGAUCAGUCAGACAUCAAAUAUGCUGAUUUAGAAGAGAUCUGAAUUUAAAUCUUCUCAUUAAAUAUUAAGUCUAGCGGUCUUCCAUCAUUG